AAAAUGAGACCCCUCCGCGUGAUGAACGUUUACCUGGAGUGGUGGUUUAUUUUUCAACAAUGCUUCUUUUCCUAUUGGCAUUGUUUGGGGUGGACAUCUUUAAACUUGUAUUAUAUUAUUUCCUUGCCGACAGAGGACGUAAUGUUUCUGUCAUUGACUUGAGGCAACAAUCCAUCACCCUAGACUCUGGACUUCAAAAGUCCCGGCGACCACAAAUGGUUUCCCCCAAGGACAGAUGGGUGGAGAGAUCACCUUGCCCUGAGAGAUCGGCGGAGAGCUGCCUGACU